rnacentral:rRNA from 1 species
ACGUAGGGACCAAGCGUUGUUCGGAUUUACUGGGCGUAAAGGGCGCGUAGGCGGCAAUUCAAGUCAUCUGUGAAAUCUCCGGGCUUAACUCGGAACGGUCAGAUGAUACUGCUUUGCUCGAGUGCGGAAGGGGCAAUCGGAAUUCUUGGUGUAGCGGUGAAAUGCGUAGAUAUCGAGAGGAACACCUGAGGUGAAGGCGAGUUGCUAGGCUGACACUGACGCUGAGGCGCGAAAGCUAGGGUAGCAAACGGGA